ACGCUCGACACCUACGGGAGGUAGCAGUGGGGAAUAUUGCACAAUGGGGGAAACCCUGAUGCAGCGACGCCGCGUGAAGGAUGAAGUAUUUCGGUAUGUAAACUUCUAUCAGCAGGGAAGAAAGUGACGGUACCUGACUAAGAAGCCCCGGCUAACUACGUACCAGCAGCCGCGGUAAUCUGAGCGGGCUGGCAAGGC
rnacentral:rRNA from 1 species